rnacentral:rRNA from 1 species
AGGGUUUGAUCAUGGCUCAGGAUGAACGCUAGCGGCAGGCUUAACACAUGCAAGUCGAGGGGUAGAUUUUCUUCGGAGAAUUGAGACCGGCGCACGGGUGCGUAACGCGUAUGCAACUUACCUUAUACUGGGGGAUAGCCCGGAGAAAUUCGGAUUAAUACCGCAUAUGCUCACAGUUUCGCAUGGAACAGUGAGGAAAGAUUUAUCGGUAUAAGAUAGGCAUGCGUCCUAUUAGCUUGUUGGUGAGGUAACGGCUCACCAAGGCGAUGAUAGGUAGGGGGCCUGAGAGGGUGGUCCCCCACACUGGUACUGAGACACGGACCAGACUCCUACGGGAGGCAGCAGUGAGGAAUAUUGGGCAAUGGAGGCAACUCUGACCCAGCUAUGCCGCGUGAAGGAUGAAGGUCCUCUGGAUUGUAAACUUCUUUUGUAUGGGGAUAAACUUUUCUACGUGUAGAAAACUGAAGGUACCAUACGAAUAAGGAUCGGCUAACUCCGUGCCAGCAGCCGCGGUAAUACGGAGGAUCCAAGCGUUAUCCGGAUUUCUUGGGUUUAAAGGGUCC